GAUGAACGCUAGCGGCAGGCUUAACACAUGCAAGUCGAGGGGUAGAAGGAGCUUGCUCCUUUGAGACCGGCGCACGGGUGCGUAACGCGUAUGCAAUCUACCUUUUGCAGAGGGAUAGCCCAGAGAAAUUUGGAUUAAUACCUCAUAGUAUGUGAGGAUGGCAUCAUUUUCACAUUAAAGUCACAACGGCAAAAGAUGAGCAUGCGUCCCAUUAGCUAGUUGGUAAGGUAACGGCUUACCAAGGCUACGAUGGGUAGGGGUCCUGAGAGGGAGAUCCCCCACACUGGUACUGAGACACGGACCAGACUCCUACGGGAGGCAGCAGUGAGGAAUAUUGGACAAUGGGCGCAAGCCUGAUCCAGCCAUGCCGCGUGCAGGAUGACGGUCCUAUGGAUUGUAAACUGCUUUUGUACAGGAAGAAACACUACUUCGUGAAGUAGCUUGACGGUACUGUAAGAAUAAGGAUCGGCUAACU
rnacentral:rRNA from 1 species